rnacentral:rRNA from 1 species
AACUAGAGUCUUGUAGAGGGGGGUAGAAUUCCAGGUGUAGCGGUGAAAUGCGUAGAGAUCUGGAGGAAUACCGGUGGCGAAGGCGGCCCCCUGGACAAAGACCGACGCUCGUGCACGAAAGCGUGGGGAGCAAACAGGAUUAGAUACCCUGGUAGUCCACGCCGUAAACGAUGUCUACUCGGAAUUUGGUACCUU